AGCGAACGCUGGCGGCAGGCCUAACACAUGCAAGUCGAACGAAGUCUUCGGACUUAGUGGCGGACGGGUGAGUAACACGUGGGAACGUACCUUUUGGUUCGGAACAACUCAGGGAAACUUGAGCUAAUACCGGAUGAGCCCUUCGGGGGAAAGAUUUAUCGCCAUUAGAGCGGCCCGCGUUAGAUUAGCUAGUCGGUGAGGUAAAGGCUCACCAAGGCUACGAUCUAUAGCUGGUCUGAGAGGAUGAUCAGCCACACUGGGACUGAGACACGGCCCAGACUCCUACGGGAGGCAGCAGUGGGGAAUCUUGCGCAAUGGGCGAAAGCCUGACGCAGCCAUGCCGCGUGAAUGAUGAAGGUCUUAGGAUUGUAAAAUUCUUUUACCAGGGACGAUAAUGACGGUACCUGGAGAAAAAGCCCCGGCUAACUUCGUGCCAGCCGCCGCUGUAACAC
rnacentral:rRNA from 1 species